AUGCAGUUCUGGAGCUUGGAGGGGGCGGACGACGCGUUCGGCGACUUCGGCCGCAUCGACCGGCUCGACAGCCGCACGUACGAGCGUGGCCACACCAAGACAUUCGCAUGCUGGCUGUGGGCCUGGGACGUGGCGCACAUCCCGACUAAGAGGGCUCUGUGGGUGCUCAAGCGUGGUGCUGGCCGCGUCGACGAGAUCAUCGGCUUCUCCCCACCGGAUCGCAACGUUCCUCCCCCGCCGGGCGUCCACCGCUACGACCUGCUGAUCCAUGUGGACCGCGUGGAGGAUUGGAAUCCGCUCUCGCCCCGCUCCUCACACUUGGGACAGAGCGGGCUCCCCUCCUCGGAAGACGAAGACACCCGCCCCCUCCCCCGCUCGGAGCCGGGCACCUGGGCGUCUGGUAUGGAGGACGGGCAAAGCAGGGCCAGGCGCUCUGUGCCUCGCGUGUCCUCCUCCGGCUGCAGCAGCUUCCCAUCCCUCGGAGAGCGCCGCGACCACGACGGCGACGAACAGGGCAACCGCGGCCGGUCCUGGAAGGACGCGUUCCUCGGCCGUGGCCGGCAGUCCAGCGCCAAGGCCCCGGCCACGGAGGCGCCGCGCUGA
rnacentral:rRNA from 1 species